rnacentral:rRNA from 1 species
GACGAACGCUGGCGGCGUGCUUAACACAUGCAAGUCGAACGGAAAGGCCUGCUUUCCCUUGUGGAUUGCGGGUGCUCGAGUGGCGAACGGGUGAGUAACACGUGAGUGAUCUGCCCCCAACUUGGGUAUAAGCCUGGGAAACUGGGUCUAAUUCCCGAUAGGACUGCAGGGUGGUGCCUGUGGUGGAAAACGAUUUUCUAGUGGUUGGGGAUGAGCUCGCGGCCUAUCAGCUUGUUGGUGGGGUAAUGGCCUACCAAGGCGGCGACGGUAGCCGGCCUGAGAGGGUGGACGGCCACAUUGGGACUGAGAUACGGCCCAGACUCCUACGGGAGGCAGCAGUGGGGAAUAUUGCACAAUGGGCGGAAGCCUGAAGCAGCGACGCCGCGUGGGGGAUGACGGCCUUCGGGUUGUAAACUCCUUUCGACCGCGAGGAAGCCACCUGGUUGGAAGGGUGGUGACGGUAGUGGUAGAAGAAGCACCGGCUAACUACGUG